AGAGUUUGAUCCUGGCUCAGAUUGAACGCUGGCGGCAUGCCUUACACAUGCAAGUCGAACGCGAAAGGGGGGCAACCCCCAAGUAGAGUGGCGAACGGGUGAGUAACACAUCGGAACGUGCCCAGUAGUGGGGGACAACCUCGAGAAAUCGAGGCUAAUACCGCAUACGACCCACGGGUGAAAGCGGGGGACCGCAAGGCCUCGCGCUAUUGGAGCGGCCGAUGUCCGAUUAGCUAGUUGGCGGGGUAAGAGCCCACCAAGGCGACGAUCGGUAGCUGGUCUGAGAGGACGACCAGCCACACUGGGACUGAGACACGGCCCAGACUCCUACGGGAGGCAGCAGUGGGGAAUUUUGGACAAUGGGCGCAAGCCUGAUCCAGCCAUGCCGCGUGCGGGAAGAAGGCCUUCGGGUUGUAAACCGCUUUCGGCCGGAACGAAAUCGCCCGGGUGAACAUCCCGGGUGGAUGACGGUACCGAAGAAGAG
rnacentral:rRNA from 1 species